GAGAACCCGUAAAACCCUAAUAUUUUUCCUAGGGUUUAUUUCCCCUUAAUUGCAUGUUUUCUGCAUUUUCUGGCUUAGGAAUAUUUUCCUGGUGAAUUUUAUGAGUAAUUAUAGUUUUAAGAUGAGUUUUCUCGUAUUGGAUAGUUUUUAGAAAAUUAAGAAUAUAUAUUGGACGUGGGACCCACGAGUGCGAAAAGUUCGGGAAAAUUCGGCCAAUACGGUUAAGUUUCGGAUACUGUGGAAAAGUUAUCGGAUGUUACGAGAUAAGUAGAGAGUGAGAUUUGAUUGAUGUGAGAGAGAAAAGAAAGGAUAGGAAUGCAUUUAUUAGAGUGCCAAGUGUCAAUUUUCCAUUGGUUUGACUUUAAGAGUUACUAUUCACUAUUUUGACCUUUGACCAAAAUUGGUUAAAUAUCUC
rnacentral:lncRNA from 1 species